AAAGGGAGACCUAAUUCAGGUAGGAGACGAAAAAAAAGUAGUCCCUACCAAGAAUCAAUCCCAAAAGGUCGGAGCGAGGCGAAAUUGGCUUUCAAACUAGGUUCUGGGUUCAAACAAGACCUGAGUCAGGAGCAAGGGCUAUUAGCUCAGGUGGUUAGAGCGCACCCCUGAUAAGGGUGAGGUCCCUGGUUCGAGUCCAGGAUGGCCCACCUGCACAGGUGGCAAAAACAAGAGAAGCUCCGAAUCAGCACCUUAUCUUACUGACAUAGUAAGAGAGAAUGCUGGCUCUGAGUAAAGAGUCCAGAGGAACCUUGAAAACUGCAUAGAGCUAGGUGAAAAAGCCAAAAAAGAAGACCGCAAG
rnacentral:tRNA from 1 species